rnacentral:rRNA from 1 species
GACGAACGCUGGCGGCGUGCUUAACACAUGCAAGUCGAACGAAUCGGCCCUGCUUAUGUGGGGUGCUCGGGUGGCAAACCGGUGGGUACCACGUCUGUACCCUGCCCUUACCUUUGGGAUAACUUCCGAAAACUAGGGCAAAUACCUUUUAGGCGCUCCUGCUGCAUGGAGGGGGUUGCAAAGUUUCGUCGGUUGGGGAUGGACUCGCGGCUUAGCAGCUUGUUGGCGGGGUAGUGGCUUACCAAGGCUUGGACGGGUAGCCGGCCUGAGAGGGGGACCGGCCACAUUGGGACUGAGAUGCGGCCCAGACUCCUACGGGAGGGAGGAGUGGGGAAGAGUGCACAAUGGGCGGAAGCAAGAUGUAGCAACGCCGCGUGCGGGAUGACGGCCUGCGGGUUGUAAACCGCUGUCGCGUGUGACGAAGCGUGAGUGACGGUAAUGGGUAAGGAAGCACCGGCUAACUACGUG